rnacentral:rRNA from 1 species
UACGUAGGGUGCAAGCGUUGUCCGGAAUUAUUGGGCGUAAAGAGCUCGUAGGCGGUUUGUCGCGUCUGCUGUGAAAACUCGGGGCUUAACCCCGGGCCUGCAGUCGAUACGGGCAGACUAGAGUGCUGUAGGGGAGACUGGAAUUCCUGGUGUAGCGGUGAAAUGCGCAGAUAUCUGGAGGAAUACCGGUGGCGAAGGCGGCGUUCUGGACCAUUACUGACACUGAAGCGCGAAAGCUAGGGGAGCAAACGGG